rnacentral:sRNA from 1 species
GCUAGGUGUGAUGGCACAUACCUGUAAUCCCAGCAGCUUGGGAGGCUGAGGCAGGAGAAGGAUUGCAAGUUCAAAGCCAGCGACCAGCACCGGCUUCAU